rnacentral:rRNA from 1 species
UACGGAGGGUGCAAGCGUUAUCCGGAUUUAUUGGGUUUAAAGGGUCCGUAGGCGGGCUAGUAAGUCAGUGGUGAAAGCCUUCAGCUUAACUGGAGAACUGCCAUUGAUACUGCUAGUCUUGAGUUCGGUUGAAGUGGGCGGAAUAUGUGGUGUAGCGGUGAAAUGCAUAGAUAUCACAUAGAACACCUAUUGCGAAGGCAGCUCACUAAGCCGAUACUGACGCUCAGGGACGAAAGCGUGGGGAGCGAACAGG